rnacentral:rRNA from 1 species
UACGGAGGGGGCUAGCGUUGUUCGGAAUUACUGGGCGUAAAGCGCGCGUAGGCGGCUUUGUAAGUUAGAGGUGAAAGCCCGGAGCUCAACUCCGGAACUGCCUUUAAGACUGCAUCGCUAGAACGUCGGAGAGGUAAGUGGAAUUCCGAGUGUAGAGGUGAAAUUCGUAGAUAUUCGGAGGAACACCAGAAGCGAAGGCGGCCAACUGGCCCGAUACUGACGCUGAGGCGCGAAAGCGUGGGGAGCAAACAGG